AUUGAACGCUGGCGGCAUGCUUUACUCAUGCAAGUCGAACGGUAACAGGCCGCAAGGUGCUGACGAGUGGCGAACGGGUGAGUAAUGCAUCGGAACGUGCCCAGUCGUGGGGGAUAACGCAGCGAAAGCUGCGCUAAUACCGCAUACGAUCUAUGGAUGAAAGCGGGGGACCGUAAGGCCUCGCGCGAUUGGAGCGGCCGAUGUCAGAUUAGGUAGUUGGUGGGGUAAAGGCUCACCAAGCCAACGAUCUGUAGCUGGUCUGAGAGGACGACCAGCCACACUGGGACUGAGACACGGCCCAGACUCCUACGGGAGGCAGCAGUGGGGAAUUUUGGACAAUGGGCGCAAGCCUGAUCCAGCAAUGCCGCGUGCAGGAAGAAGGCCUUCGGGUUGUAAACUGCUUUUGUACGGAACGAAACGGUCCUGGUUAAUACCUGGGGCUAAUGACGGUACCGUAAGAAUAAGCCACGGCUAACUACGUGCCAGCCGCCGCCGUAACAC
rnacentral:rRNA from 1 species